CGAGCGGCGGACGGGUGAGUAACACGUGGGUAACCUGCCCAAGAGACUGGGAUAACACCUGGAAACAGAUGCUAAUACCGGAUAACAACACUAGACGCAUGUCUAGAGUUUGAAAGAUGGUUCUGCUAUCACUCUUGGAUGGACCUGCGGUGCAUUAGCUAGUUGGUAAGGUAACGGCUUACCAAGGCAAUGAUGCAUAGCCGAGUUGAGAGACUGAUCGGCCACAUUGGGACUGAGACACGGCCCAAACUCCUACGGGAGGCAGCAGUAGGGAAUCUUCCACAAUGGACGAAAGUCUGAUGGAGCAACGCCGCGUGAGUGAAGAAGGGUUUCGGCUCGUAAAGCUCUGUUGGUAGUGAAGAAAGAUAGAGGUAGUAACUGGCCUUUAUUUGACGGUAAUUACUUAGAAAGUCACGGCUAACUACGUGCCAGCAGCCGCGGUAAUACGUAGGUGGCAAGCGUUGUCCGGAUUUAUUGGGCGUAAAGCGAGUGCAGGCGGUUCAAUAAGUCUGAUGUGAAAGCCUUCGGCUCAACCGGAGAAUUGCAUCAGAAACUGUUGAACUUGAGUGCAGAAGAGGAGAGUGGAACUCCAUGUGUAGCGGUGGAAUGCGUAGAUAUAUGGAAGAACACCAGUGGCGAAGGCGGCUCUCUGGUCUGCAACUGACGCUGAGGCUCGAAAGCAUGGGUAGCGAACAGGAUUAGAUACCCUGGUAGUCCAUGCCGUAAACG
rnacentral:rRNA from 1 species